rnacentral:rRNA from 1 species
AUGCGGAGGGUGCAAGCGUUAAUCGGAAUUACUGGGCGUAAAGCGUACGUAGGCGGUUAUUUAAGUCAGAUGUGAAAGCCCCGGGCUUAACUUGGGUACUGCAUUUGAAACUGGGUAACUAGAGUUUAGUAGAGGGGAGUGGAAUUUCAGGUGUAGCGGUGAAAUGCGUAGAGAUCUGAAGGAACACCAGUGGCGAAGGCGACUCCCUGGACUAAAACUGACGCUGAGGUACGAAAGCGAGGGUAGCAAACAGGAUUAGAAACCCCUGUAGUCC